GAAUUUUUAUUUUAUUAUUAGAAUUUUUGUUUUUCAUUCAAGGGGAAAAAAUUUA
rnacentral:tRNA from 1 species